AGAAUCAACGCUGGCGGCGUGCCUAACACAUGCAAGUCGAACGAGAAAGUGGAGCAAUCCAUGAGUAAAGUGGCGCACGGGUGAGUAACACGUGACUAACCUACCCUUGAGUGGGGGAUAACCUCGGGAAACCGGGGCUAAUACCGCAUAAUAUCGAGAGAUCAAAGGAGCAAUUCGCUUAAGGAGGGGGUCGCGGCUGAUUAGCUAGUUGGUGAGGUAAUGGCUCACCAAGGCUAUGAUCAGUAUCCGGCCUGAGAGGGCGCACGGACACACUGGAACUGAAACACGGUCCAGACUCCUACGGGAGGCAGCAGUGGGGAAUUUUGCGCAAUGGGGGAAACCCUGACGCAGCAACGCCGCGUGGAGGAUGAAGUCCCUUGGGACGUAAACUCCUUUCGAUCGGGACGAUUAUGACGGUACCGGAAGAAGAAGCCCCGGCUAACUUCGCGCCAGCAGCCGC
rnacentral:rRNA from 1 species